rnacentral:lncRNA from 1 species
GAAGAAUAUCCUUUUUUCACAGUGUUCUGUGUAAAGUUAAAUGAAAAAUGGCAACCUGUCUUGCCUUUGAGGAGGCGAAGGGAACACCUCUGCAAGCUAAUCCCGAAAUGGCAACAGAUAAAGGUACACAGCAGCAAACUAUCAUUUCAUGAUUUUCCACGUUCACUUUAACAGAAAGUCACCCUGCUACAUUCCUCGUUGUGGUGGUGCUGUAUUACACAGCGCAUGAGUGGCAUUCGCAAAGCCUGUCAUGACUUAAGAUGGUACCUCCUGGCUCCAGCGAUCUCGUGUUCACUGGAAAGCUAGAAUGAGACGAAUGGCUUUCUCGAGGUAAAAGGAUCACGCUUUCCCUUUUGACAACCGAAAUAAAAGUGAGAAGACAUUUUAUUCCCUUGGGGAGAUGGAUUCUAAUGGGAGGCCAAAAGCAGGUGGCUACCGACUUGUCAGGAAGGAAAUUUACUUCCACUUCUCUACACUACUAAGCGAAGAGGAAUGCAAAGAACAAGGGAGUUCAAAGCAAUCGAGUCUACAUUCAUUGAGAAUGUCUGGAUCCUUGCCCGCCCAGAACCUGGAGCAUUUACAUAGUUUCAGAAAGUUUAACCCUUUUUCAUUAAACCCAGCAAUGUUCUUCCCAGCGCGGAGCGCUGUGCUUUUCUUAUCAGUGACUAAACACAUCGGAAGGCGUCCUUCACAAAUCCAGCUCCAGGCUCUCACCAUUCUGCGUUUUAUUUCCCAUUUUUUCUCUGUGGGACAGGAACUUAAGACCUGGAGUUCUCUGUUGUAAGAUGCUCAGAGAACUGUCACAGGGGAGCGAGGGAUCACUUACAGUAAUUCCCAAAAGCUCCGGCCAAAGUUCUCACUCACACGAUGGAGCUGAGCUGGGUUUAAAAGAGCUUACUCUUUUUUUUUUUUUUUUUUUUUUUCUGCAAAUUUGUCUGCUCAAGUGUAAACUCACUUCUGGCUCUGCAGAAUCAGAGAAGAAACAGAGACGUUCAGAAAUGAUUAUAACAAGAAACUUGUAUUUUUUUCUGAUGAUUAAUUCUGAGCAAACUACUGUUCAGUUUUAUUUAGGAGAUGAUGUUAGUUGGCAGCUUAUUACAGACCUUCAAUUUGUAAACAAUAUUUAUUUGUUGAAAGAGGUAUAAAAUCUAGUAAUAGUGGAAAUCCUUAAAACAGGCUAUCAAAUCAUUUUUGCCUGGACCUAAGCAUUCAUUUAGACUAUCUCUAAGCUAAAUAGCGCAGCACUGUGUAGGUCAGAUAAGCAGCAAACCUGAGUAGGAACAAGAGUCGAUCCGACUUGCCUGUUUAAUCGUUAGUGACAGUAGGAAUGCUAAAAUAAAGAUUGACCCUUUCAAAACUGCCUACUCUUU